CCUGGCUCUUUCCAUGUUUUAACAGGGGUGCAGUCGGUUGCCAGAAUGAAUUGGACCUCUCUCCACGAUCAAUCGAAAGCCAGAGCCAAGGUUUGGAAACAGCCUGCAAAGCUACCAGCGUCCUCAGAAUCCCUUCCCAGCUUUUCUUUACAUUGUUGCCUAUCAGUCAUGGGAAAUGGGACUUGCAUUCAAGCUGUGGCCCUCCCGCCCCCGCGGCUUCCCUGGGAGGCGAAGCUGGCCCUCCUGCCCCCGCGGCUUCCCUGGGAGGCAACAGUGCGGGGAGCUGCUGAGUCGGGUGCUCCACUGCUGGUGUGUUAGGGGCUUCGUGUAGUUUGUUCCUCUGGCUGGCCUGGCAUAGUUGGAGCAUGUGGCAAAGGAUCAUUUGGGGGUGGCCAUAGUUCCCUCUGAGAGAAAAGGGGUCUUGGACGAGGGGGUCAUUGCCAGGGUCUGGCUCAGUCUUAGGACUUUCUUUCCGAGGGCCAGUGUUAGGAGCUUUACAGAUUGAAGCAUUCUGAUACAAAGCCAUAAAGGCUUCACUGUAUGGUAUUUCUGACCAUUUACCCUGCCUUUUGCAAAGUAAGUAUAAUUGUAGGUUAGUAUUACGAUGUAGCCUUCAAUGGUCUGGCCAUUGCACCUGACUGUCUAGCUGAUAUUGUGGCCAAGUAGUAUUAAAAUAAAAAACUCAAGCAUUUUCUUCUCAGAUUGUCAGGGUCAAAUUGAUUUCAAUGGUUGAGGGUGCAGCCAGG
rnacentral:lncRNA from 10 species